UUAUAUAUUAUUUUAAAAUAUAGUUUUGAUUCUUGGGGGAAAUACACAAUUCACCUAGCAGUAUAUGAAGGUACUAAAAUUAGGGUCUUCUGCACAAACAAUAAAGUCCAAAUUAGUCAGGAAUUUUAAUCAAAGUACAUUUUCAGAAAUGGGUUAUUCUUCAAAAAGACUACUUUUACUUUUGGUAUGUUAAGUAUUGCACAUGCAUGAUUUUUUAAUGUUAAAGUCCUUCUGAUAUGAGCUAUACGUCACAUCAACAUAUUGCAACAUAGAGAAAAUGCUGUUAUACAGGCAAACAGGACACGAUAAAGGGAAAUAAAAGAAGAAAAAUGUAUCUGCCCUUUUAAAUAUUAUUUAUUUAACUUUAAUUAAAAUUUAAUAGCUGUAUUCCAAAUUUGUGAUCGGUCCGUGUACGGAUCUGGUAAUUGGAUUUUCCGUUCUGAAACGGGUAUUGAAAAACAAAAAACGAGUGGUUAUUUGAUUUUCGUUUUAAAAUACAAAAAUUUAAAUUUAAAUACAAGGCGUUUUUACUAUUCAUGAUCAAAAAGGGAUAUACGAUUUUUUUUUAAAUGCUUUGAUUUUCGUUUUAUAUUUAGAAUAACAAGAAAGUAAAAUCAGUAAGAGACAGAAACGAAAAAAGGUCCGUUUUUUCAUUUUCUGAGACCGGAAGUGGUCAUCAGCAAGUGUGGAGCCAAACGACAACAAGAUUCUCAGAGGGCGGAGCCAGAGAGCAGCGAUUGGUCAGACAGAUAAUAUAGAAGACAGCGCGCUAGCGUAUCUAGUAUAGGGUAUAUCUAUGGUCGGCACGUCUGGUAGCAUCUCUGGCUGCUGUUGACCUUGUUUUUGGAGUAAAACACGGUGGAAGCUGAAUUAGUGAGGAUGACUCCUGCUCCUGUCAUCUCUAAGCUCCUCACACAUCUUUACCUGCACAUGAGGAAAAUCACUCCUGUAGAAUGCAGUGGUUCAUCAGAACCUCUGGGGAUGUCCUGUGGAUUCUGUGGAUCCUGUGGGUUGCAGGGUGGAUCCUACCAGGCUGAUCCUGGACCAUCCCACAGAUGCUCAAUCAGAUCUGGAUGUGGGGAGUGUGGAACCCAGAUGUUCAGAGGGAGAUGAUGCCACAUCUGGUCCAGCUGAUGGAAGGUCUUGAAGUUCUCUGACUGGCCUCGACUGAAGAUGGUCGUCUCACUGGAUUUAAGGUUCAGAUGCUCAGUAACAAACUCCACCAAUGAGCCAACAGGGAAGCUUUAGGUUUAUUAAAUGUUGCUAUGAAGGUUUAGCUGUUUUUCUUUGUGAAUGCAAUGUGCUCCAACUGAAACUUGAAUUAGAACUUAGAAGUAAAUCCUUCCAUCUGAAAGGAUUUAGUUGCAUUAAUAACCUCAUAACAUUCUAAUUUUUAUUCCAGUCUUAGGUUGGAAAUAGAAUCUCUGUAUUGAUUCAGGUAAAAACUGAACUUCACAGCAUGUUGGAGCAAAACAACCAGAUGAAAACUGUGAUGGUGUUGGAUUGUCAGACCGUAAUGUUGCAGCUCAAAGCAGCUUUUCUAUCUCAGUUCAUUGUGACAUUCAGCUAUGAAUCAACACAGCAGAUGGUGAUCCAUGCUGUGGAAGUCUCACAUCUCCUGAUUUAAUGGAGCUGCUUUGCACUUUUUACACUGUUUAUUCACCAACACUUUAUUUAAUAAAAGUCCCAUCUAGUUUUUAUGAGGAAUGUGAUGUUUUAAUUUCUCUGUGAAUAAAUGCAGUCUAAUGCAACAGCUGGAGUUGUAACAUCUGUCCUGAUAUUGAUCAUGAAGUAUUGAUCAGAAUACUUAUGGUUAGCAGUCAUCCCUGAAGUUUUACAUUAAAAUCUUUACUUGUGUUGUGAACUUUGGUAAGAAGCAGAAACGUUAGCGUUGCCAUGGAUACAUGAGUGUUAAAUUCUGUCCAUGUUUCCAUUUUGGGAAAUGCAGUCCAGUUCCAGAAUGUGGAGGAAUUUAGUCUCACAAUCACAGACAAUAAAUAUUAUCUGAAAGUCGGGUUAUUGUUGUUUAUCAGCACAAUACAAAAAGAUUAGUGUUAGAAAUAUUCCAGUUCAGACUCUAGAAUAUCAUGAUUUAUGUAAAUUUACCUCAAUAAUAUGAAUGUUCAGGUUAAGAUUGUACAGUGAUAUUUAUUAUGUAAGUUUAGCUGAUUAAAGUUUAUGACUCUGCACUAAAAUAUUAUUUAAAUUGACAUCAUUAUUAUAAUAUUUAGGGUCAGACCCUCCAGUAUUGAGAUUAAGAAAUCAAAUAUUCUAUAAAAUGUAAAUACACUGAACUCAUUUGGAUAUAUUUAAGUGAGACUCUACAAUAUUAUUUGACACAAAUCUAUCUAAAUCAAAAUUUUAAUAAUUUUCACGCCAAACAUUUACUGGACUGAUUUAAACAUUAAAAUCACUCCUUUCUAAUCCUCUGCUGUACGUUCAAACCUGAGGCCUUAAAUAGAAACACACAAGUAUCUGAUUGAAGGAACUUCUGCAGAGUCCUGGUUCCAGAACAUGAUGAUAGAAUUACAGACAAACUUUAACAAAAGCUGCCUGAGAGUUUAUAGGUUUUUAUGUUGGAUUUCUUCAGUAAUUUAAUGAGCGUUAUCAGCAAUAAUCAAGUGUUCAUUUGAUGAACUUGAUUUCCUAAAACAUCCAGAAUUGGAGCUCAUAUCUUUGGCAGCUGUAAAGUUUCUGCUCCUUCAAAGUUCACAACACAAUGAAUGAAUUCCUAAAACACUCUAAAUGCUGGAGAACGUUUGUGAUGCUGAAGCAGUGACCAGUUUUUCUGUUUCUUCUCUGGAGAUGCACAAUGAGGGAUGUCUGCAGAGACUGAGAAAGAGUCUCACCACAUCCUGACAUGAGGAAAAAGACUUUAUUGAAGACUACAAUGAGAAAAACUAUCAGACAGCAGACGGCUGCAUUCAAGGUGAGCUCUGAACAUUUGAUCUGGAACAGGAAUUCAAUAACGGCAGCAUGAGCUUCAUUUCAGUCUGUAGCUGCUGAAUUCAUGGAUGAAUCAUCUGGCACUAGAGAAGAAGACCAUCAAACAUCCAUGUCAGCUGAUGGAGGUCCAAGAGUCUCACCCAACAAACAACCUACAGAGUGAAGACCUCAAAUCUGAUUGGACGGCCUCCUAUUCAGCCACGUGUGAACAAAUGCCUCAAAGUUGAUUUGUUUUCUAAAAUAAAUCUAGUUUGAGUCCUAA